UACGUAGGUCCCGAGCGUUGUCCGGAUUUAUUGGGCUUAAAGCGUGCGCAGGCAGUUUGAUAAGUCAGAAGUAAAAGGCAGUGGCUCAACCAUAGUGCGCUUCUGAAACAGUCAAACUUGAGUGCAGACGGGGGGAAUAGAAUUCCAUGUGUAGCGGUGAAAUGCGUAGAUAUAUGGAGGAAUACCGGUGGCGAAAGCGGCCUGCUGGACUGUCACUGACGCUGAGGCUCGAAAGCGUGGGGAGCGAACAGG
rnacentral:rRNA from 1 species